rnacentral:pre_miRNA from 1 species
AUGUCUUCUAGAGUUCUUCCGAACACUUCAUUGGAACUUUUUUUAUUCGGUUAACAAUUAAUUCCACUGAAGUGUUUGGGGGAACUCCGGACGUCAU